rnacentral:rRNA from 1 species
AGGACGAACGCUGGCGGCGUGCUUAACACAUGCAAGUCGAGCGACAGUGUUCUUCGGAACAUAUGGAGCGGCGAACGGGUGAGUAACACGUGGGCAACCUGCCCCUAGCUCUGGGAUAACGUCCGGGAAACCGGGGCUAAUACUGGAUACGAUCUUCCAUGGCAUCUCGGAAGAUGGAAAGUUUUUCGGCUAGGGAU